CGCAUCUGUGCAUGCAGCAUAUCAAUAAGCGGAGGAAAAGAGGGCUAUUACCUACGCUUAGGAUGUUGACGCGCGUGUGUGCGUGAUCUAUACAUGACUCUGCAGCAUAUCAAUAAGCGGAGGAAAAGAAACUAACAAGGAUUCCCUUAGUAACGGCGAGUGAAGCGGGAAGAGCUCAAAUUUGAAAUCUUCAAGGUUUUACCUUGACGAAUUGUAGUUUAAAGAAGUGUUUUCUGUUGAAGUUUUGGUAAAAGUUCUUUGGAAUAGGACAUCAUAGAGGGUGAGAAUCCCGUAUUUGACCAUUAUUUUCAGCUGUGUGAUACACUUUCAAAGAGUCGGAUUGUUUGGGAAUGCAGUCCAAAAUGGGUGGUAAAUUUCAUCUAAAGCUAAAUAUUGGCGAGAGACCGAUAGCGAACAAGUACCGUGAGGGAAAGAUGAAAAGAACUUUGAAAAGAGAGUUAAACAGUACGUGAAAUUGUCAAAAGGGAAGCGUUUGACACCAGUGUUGUUUUCUCGAAAAUCAAUUAAAAAGAGUUUGAUUUUGUUGUGUAUUGACCUUAACAGCUUGCAUUUCAAUUUUCUUGCUUUUUUUAAUGCACUUUUCGUUUAACAAGUCAACAUCAGUUUCUUUUGUUGUAAAAAGGUCAUUGGAAGGUGGCUUUCUUUUCGGAGAAAGUGUUUAUAGCCUUUGACUCCUGCAAUCGGAGAGACUGAGGUCUGCAGCGUAGAUCCUUCGGGGUUAGAUACAUUUGUGCUAAGUUAUAGCUUUUUAUAGACAACUUGUUGACUAUGAUUAGUCUUGUAGCUUACUCGCUUAUGCUAUUUUACCUACGCUUAGGAUGUUGACGCGCGUGUGUGCGUG
rnacentral:rRNA from 1 species